UCUUUUACAGAUAGAAAACCCCCCACAAGGUCUGCCAUGCGUCUCAGGGCCACAGAAUGUGUGUGUGUAUUGUGUUAUAUUUAGUGUGAGGAGAACAAGAAGCCGAAGAGGUCUUAAUACAUCAUACUCUGCUGCUGAACUCAGAAGAAGUUGAAUAAUGAACUUCUUACAUACAGAUACUGUUCUUGCAUCAGGCGUUAAUAUGUGUGUAUCAGGGCCCAGCCCCUUCCUUCUUCCAGGCCUUGGUUAAACCAUACACUCCAGCACGUGCACUACGCUUGGCGUCAGCCAAUCGGCUGCUACUACAUCUCUGUGAGUGGGACCCAGGUACCCCUCAAAAACACGCCUGUCUUCUAUCCUGGCUCCUAAAUGGUGGAAGAGCUCCCCAUUGACAUCAGGACAGCAGAAACUCUGCAUAUCAAAGCUAAAUGAAAACCCAUCUAUUUCGAUGAUUCGCUGGCAAUUCAAAAAAAGAAAAAGCACGUUAAAGAAUUAGCUUAGGCCUUGUAACUAAUGCACCAGCAGCAAUAGUAUGACUUGCUUGAAGUGCACUUUCCUUGUUGUUCGGUUUCAGUCUCUAUGUUUUUUUUGCACUUAUUGUAAGAAGCUUUGCAAAUGAAAUGAAAUGUAAUAUCUUGUUUUGCUGUGAUCAUGUUGAACUGCUGAGAAGCUUUGUGUUGUCCUUCCUCAGGUGUCCCUGCAGUACAGGGGCUCUCACUUCUGUGGGGGGGCCAUCCUGACUGAGCACUGGAUACUGACCGCUGCACACUGCUUGGCUUCACACUCUAAGUACUCUCUUACUUACUCUCUGCUACUGUCCAGUGCAUCAUGUCUAUGGAUAUCACAGUGGACUGUCUUGAAUGUAAAGGUUUUCUCCUCUGUCUAGAGAGUUCCUCAGCGGAGUGAGAGUGGUGGUGGGAGAGUUCGACCAGAGAGUAGAUGAUGAAGAGAAGCAGGCCUUCCUCAUCAAGUCUGUCUCAGUCCACGAGAAGUACCAUCACGCUUUGCCUAUGAACUAUGACAUAGCUCUGAUGGACUUGGAUCAGCACAUUGUACUGGGCAGGUUUCAGAAAACCAGGAAUAGCACUGAUCAUGUUUUAGGGCCAGUUCGCUCCAAAGUCAAAACAACAGCAUAUGUCCUCCUACCUGUGUAUUUAUCGAUAGGUUUAAGGUGCACAGGUUUGGAGAUAUCAGUCGUAAAGAUGGCUGUCUUCUUUUGAUGUCUCUUUAAAAAAUGCAUGACCUGGUUACUUGAGAUGAUCCGCAGACCUUUUUAUGAGCAGUUUAAUGGAGGAACAUUUUCUUUGUACAGAACUACAGCCACCUACCGUAUCACAGAGCGUCUCCUCGUGGUGAGAGGCUCGUGAUUGGGUGAAACGGUUGGCCGGCAAGUUAGGGAGAAGGAAAAUAGUCCCUAUAUAACUGGUAAGGUCUGUGGGUAAUUCAAGUAAUUGGGUCGUUAUUUCUGGAGAAAGAUAUUGUAUCAUCCCGAGAGAAGACAGACACAUUCUCGAUGUAUGUAAUACCUGACACAAAGAGGGAAAUACAGCAGUAAGAGGAAAGAGAACAUAUUUAUUUUUUCAUUAAGGUUUUGCUCUGUGUUGUUUUUCAACAGGAACCCAUGUUCAGUCAAUAUGUCUGCCUUUGCCCGAUGACAGCAUCCAACCGGGAACCAGUUGCAUCAUGGGUGGAUGGGGCCGGAUGAAGGAAAAGGGCCGUGUUCCUGCGGUGCUGAGAGAGGUCAAGUUAGACCUGGUGGAUCCGGUCAAAUGUCAAUAUGUCCUCCACACUGUCAGGAGCUCAACUCGUCCCCAGAGACCAGCCCAGCCUCAGCCUGCCAUGACCGUUCUGUGUGCCGGGCCAGAGGGGGGGGGGAGAGACUCCUGCCAGGUAUAAGGAGAAGAUCUGCUUCACCAUCAUUCCACAUUUAGUUCAAGAGCAGUGGAGCUUCCCUGAACUCUGAAUCAGUCAUCAGAUUGUGAAAGGUUGGUCAUGUUAUGACUCCUCCCUCCAUCCUCUCUGCAGGGGGACUCGGGGGGGCCUUUGGUUUGCCCUGCAGGUUCAGGCGAGGGCCGCUGGGUAGCACUGGGUGUGACUUCCUGGGGGAAGGGAUGCGGUCGGAGCUGGGGAAAGAACAGCAGCCGCCCCGCCGCCAGGAGAGGAUCUCCAGGGGUUUUCACUGAUGUCAGGCUGCUGCUGCCUUGGAUCAAGAGUAAACUGAGACAGGCUGAUGAGCCACAGCAGAGAACAUCUUUAUCCAACCUUCAUGCAGGUGUGCAGACUCUGAGGGGUGAGCAGCGACACGCUACAUCUUACGUGGAUGUGAGGCAUGUUCCCUGGAUCAGUGAUCUGAAGUGACUUCAACCAGCUGCUGACUGUAUUUGAGUGAGUUAAGGCAUUAGUUUGCUUCA